rnacentral:rRNA from 1 species
CCUACGGUAUGCAGCAGUGGGGAAUAUUGGACAAUGGGCGAAAGCCUGAUCCAGCCAUGCCGCGUGUGUGAAGAAGGCCUUCGGGUUGUAAAGCACUUUCAGUGGGGAAGAAAGCCUUGGGGCUAAUACCCUCGAGGAAGGACAUCACCCACAGAAGAAGCACCGGCUAACUCCGUGCCAGCAGCCGCGGUAAUACGGAGGGUGCGAGCGUUAAUCGGAAUUACUGGGCGUAAAGCGCGCGUAGGCGGUCUGAUAAGCCGGUUGUGAAAGCCCCGGGCUCAACCUGGGAACGGCAUCCGGAACUGUCAGGCUAGAGUGCAGGAGAGGAAGGUAGAAUUCCCGGUGUAGCGGUGAAAUGCGUAGAGAUCGGGAGGAAUACCAGUGGCGAAGGCGGCCUUCUGGACUGACACUGACGCUGAGGUGCGAAAGCGUGGGUAGCAAACAGGAUUAGAUACCCUAGUAGUC